rnacentral:rRNA from 1 species
GAUGAACGCUGGCGGCGUGCCUAAUACAUGCAAGUCGAGCGAACGGACGAGAAGCUUGCUUCUCUGAUGUUAGCGGCGGACGGGUGAGUAACACGUGGAUAACCUACCUAUAAGACUGGGAUAACUUCGGGAAACCGGAGCUAAUACCGGAUGAUAUUUUGAACCGCAUGGUUCAAAAGUGAAAGACGGUCUUGCUGUCACUUAUAGAUGGAUCCGCGCUGCAUUAGCUAGUUGGUAAGGUAACGGCUUACCAAGGCAACGAUGCAUAGCCGACCUGAGAGGGUGAUCGGCCACACUGGAACUGAGACACGGUCCAGACUCCUACGGGAGGCAGCAGUAGGGAAUCUUCCGCAAUGGGCGAAAGCCUGACGGAGCAACGCCGCGUGAGUGAUGAAGGUCUUCGGAUCGUAAAACUCUGUUAUUAGGGAAGAUCAUAUGUGUAAGUAACUGUGCACAUCUUGACGGUACCUAAUCAGAAAGCCACGGCUAACUACGUG